UACGUAGGUGGCAAGCGUUGUCCGGAUUUACUGGGCGUAAAGAGCGCGCAGGCGGUUGGAUAAGUCGAAUGUGAAAGCCCCCGGCUCAACUGGGGAGGGUCAUUCGAUACUGUCCGACUCGAAGGCAGGAGAGGGAAGCGGAAUUCCCGGUGUAGUGGUGAAAUGCGUAGAUAUCGGGAGGAACACCAGUGGCGAAGGCGGCUUUCUGGCCUGUUUCUUGACGCUGAGGCGCGAAAGCUAGGGGAGCAAACGGG
rnacentral:rRNA from 1 species